AUUGAACGCUGGCGGCAGGCUUAACACAUGCAAGUCGAGCGAGCGGCGGACGGGUGAGUAAUGUCUGGGAAACUGCCUGAUGGAGGGGGAUAACUCCUGGAAACGGUAGCUAAUACCGCAUACCAUCAGAUGUUCCCAGAUGGGAUUAGCUAGUCGGUGGGGUAAUGGCUCACCUAGGCGACGAUCCCUAGCUGGUCUGAGAGGAGGACAAGCCAAACGGGAACUGAGACACGGCACAGACUCCGACGGGAGGAAGCAGGGGGGAAUAUGGCAAAAUGGGCGCAAGCCUGAUGCAGCCAUGCCGCGUGGGGGAAGAAGGCCGUCGGGGUGGAAAGCACUUUCAGCGAGGAGGCGUUACUCGCAGAAGAAGCACCGGCUAACUCCGUGCCAGCCGCCGCGGUAAUUC
rnacentral:rRNA from 1 species